UACAGAGGUCUCAAGCGUUGUUCGGAUUCAUUGGGCGUAAAGGGUCCGUAGGCGGUUUUGUAAGUCAGUGGUGAAAGCCCAUCGCUCAACGGUGGAACGGCCAUUGAUACUGCAAGACUUGAAUUAUUGGGGAAGCAACUAGAAUAUGUAGUGUAGCGGUGAAAUGCUUAGAUAUUACAUGGAAUACCAAUUGCGAAGGCAGGUUGC
rnacentral:rRNA from 1 species